rnacentral:rRNA from 1 species
CCUACGGGUGGCAGCAGUAGGGAAUAUUGCUCAAUGGGGGCAACCCUGAAGCAGCAACGCCGCGUGUAGGAUGAAGGUUUUCGGGUUGUAAACUCCUUUUGUUAGAGAAGAUAGUGUCGGUGUCUAACACAUCAGCACCGGCUAACUCCCGGCCAGCAGCCGCGGUAAUACGGAGUGUGCAAGCGUUAGUCGGAAUCACUGGGCGUAACGAGCGCGGAGGCGGGAUAGCAAGUCAGAUGUGAAAUCCUAUGGCUUAACCAUAGAACUGCAUUUGAAACUGUUAUUCUAGAGUAUGGUAGAGGUAGGUGGAAUUCCAGGUGUAGGGGUAAAAUCCGUAGAGAUCAAGAGGAAUACUCAUGGCGAAGGCGACCUGCUAGAACAUAACUGACGCUGAUGUGCGAAAGCGUGGGGAGCAAACAGGAUUAGAUACCCCAGUAGUC